rnacentral:lncRNA from 1 species
ACCUGUUACCUUCCUUUUAGUGAGUAAGCUUUAUUAAUAUUUCCUAGGGAGAAAAAAAAAAACGGUCAGUGAAUUCUCUGCACAUCUGUCUACCUAACACAUGCCCUGUAACAAAGAAUUGUCUUAUACCCACCAUCCGCUCUCCUCCUGUUAACUCAGUACAUGGUCUGUGUCUAGAUGGCUGUUCUGUGUAUAGAUGGUUGUUCUGUGUUUAGAUGGUUGUUCUGUUUAUAGAUGGUUGUUCUGUGUACAGAUGGUUGCUCUGUGAAUAGACAGUUCCUCCACACGUGUUCUCAUUCAGCCCUGCAGGAUAAAUCAUGUCUGACUUGUGGCAACUCUGAUCUAUAUUGGUUCUGUCCUGUCAAUGUUGAAUCACUUUCAUGUCGUAUUUAUUUUAAGAUGACAAACAUACAGCUCUUCAGCUGCCUGUCUCCAGUUCUUCCUUGCUGUCAUUCCCUGACAGUGAGCCGUUGACCUGAUUAAUUAAACUUGCUGUCUCUAUUUCUUGUUCGUCAUUUGAAGAAUCAUUGAUGCUAUAGAGCUAUUUCUUCUACUGGACUCCUGAGAAACUUUCCCACAUGUCCAGGACAAUCUCCUCUUUAGUAAAAGGGAUGAAGAAGUUCAUUCAUUAUUUUAUUUUAUUUUAUUUUAUUUUAUUUUAUUUUAUUUUAUUUUAUUUCUAGUUAGAAUUACAGAAAGGGACAUUAUCUCAUUGAAUCACUCCUAUGUGUUGGCUUCUAUAAUGAUAUCAACUCAUUUUGAACAUUCCACUAAUAAUUUUUUGGGGAUUCCUUCCAAACACAUUUCUUAAAUUUUGGUAAUUUUAAGAAUUCUGAAGACAAUUAUGUGACGUUUACUUUUUUCAAUGUUCCACUCAGUCUUAAAGUUGGGCAGCCCCAACUUUCCCAUGUUUCUAUUUCUUGAUGUGUAUUCACCCCCUUUUAAUUCCUUGAAAUUAAUUUUGUUUUCUGACAAUUUGCCUGCGCUAAACUUGCAGCUGAUGUGUGUGGCAUAGGGUCUUGUUUUCUAGUUGUAGUUAGCAAGAAGAGACUUACAAGCGCUCGUAUUGUUUUGUGGACUUCUGGAGAAUCCAUUACCAACAUCCCUGGAGGUUUCCUACAUCUGACAUUGGGACUUUUGUUUAGCUUCAUACUUCCUAUAUUCCAUGAUUAUCUUGAAUGGUGUUUCCUUUGCAUGGCUAAAAUGUGUUACAAGGUACAAAGUUUCUAUAUGGCUUUGCCACACACUCUUCACUUUUCCUAGCUUUUUUACCUGCUCUCUUGCCUCCCCCUUCCCUCCAUCCAUCUUCCUGCUUAAAGCAUUCUGUAUUCAGCAUUUUUCCUCUUAUAAAGACAAACAUUGAAUUGGGACUGACUUGGGAAACAUCGUGACAUGCAGGCAGACAUGGGGCUGGAGAAGGAGUCAAGAGUUCUUUAUCUGGAUCAGCAGGUAGCAGGAAGAGAGAGUGAGCUACUGGGACUAUCUUGAGCUUCUAAAACCCCAAAGUCCACCCUAGUGGUGCACUCCCUCCAACAAGGGCACAUGUCCUAAUCCUUUCAAAUAAUGACCCUACCUAUGAGCAUAUGGGGGCCAUUUUCAGCCAACUACCAAAAUAUGUAUGUGCAUCUAGAGAUAUACAUAGAUAUUUAAUACCUUAGGCCUUUUCAUUCAUGCUUUAUGUUUUUUAUUUCCUCCUGCUCACAUCUCAGACAUUAAAACUACCUGCUCACUCUGUCCAAUCUUUGGAAAGUGUUUUCUGGACAUUUCUCUUUCUUCUUUUGAGAACUUUCUGUUUAAUUCAAUAGCCAAUUUUAAUUAUAUUGCUUAUUUUCUUAAUGCUUAGAGUUUUAAUUUAGUGAUCUUCGGGACACUAAUCCUCUAUUGGAUGAACUCGUAGCAAGAAUAUUAUCUCAUUAAAGGGCUGAACCUUUCACUUAGUUUAUUCACUCUUUGUACACAAGCCUUUUUAAUUUCUUGAUAUUUGAGGUUCUACUUAGAAGUAUUUACCCAUACCUGCAUGGUGAAGUAUAAUACAUAUUUUCUUUAAAGUAGGUAGUUUUAGACUCUCAUUCUUAGACUCUGGUCUUUGACUCAUUUGCCAUUGAGUUUUAUAUAAGAUAAAAAAUAAGGAUUGAGUUUCAUUCUUCCAUCUGUUGAUAUCCAGUUUUCUAAACAUUAUUUGUAGAAGUUGUUGUCUGUAUAGCCAUGACUGUCCUGGAACUCUCUCUCUGUAGACCAGGCUGGCCUCUAACUCACAGGGAGCAGCCUACUUCUGCCUCCAAAAUGCUGGAAUGAAAGGUGCACCAUCACUCCCAGCUGGCUUAUCAUUUAGUUCUUUUAGAAACCUAAAGAAUACUGGAUUUGCUUUCACUGUAUGCGUGUAGAAAUUGCAUCAUAAGGGAGGUAGGAAAAAGCAUGGCAUCCUAUCUCAGUUUAAGAAUGUAUGUUUAUCAUGUAUAAAGACCUAGAUUCAAUUUCUAACACC